UACGUAGGGAGCAAGCGUUGUCCGGAAUCAUUGGGCGUAAAGCGCGCGUAGGCGGCUCGAUCAGUCUGUUGUGAAAGUCAAAGGCUCAACCUUUGAAUGCCGAUGGAUACUGUCGAGCUAGAGUCCGGAAGAGGCGAGUGGAAUUCCUGGUGUAGCGGUGGAAUGCGCAGAUAUCAGGAGGAACACCAACGGCGAAGGCAGCUCGCUGGGACGGUACUGACGCUAAGGCGCGAAAGCGUGGGGAGCGAACG
rnacentral:rRNA from 1 species